GAGUUUGAUCCUGGCUCAGAGCGAACGCUGGCGGCAGGCCUAACACAUGCAAGUCGAACGAACUCUUCGGAGUUAGUGGCGGACGGGUGAGUAACACGUGGGAACGUGCCUUUAGGUUCGGAAUAACUCAGGGAAACUUGUGCUAAUACCGAAUGUGCCCUUCGGGGGAAGGAUUUAUCGCCUUUAGAGCGGCCCGCGUCUGAUUAGCUAGUUGGUGAGGUAAUGGCUCACCAAGGCUACGAUCAGUAGCUGGUCUGAGAGGAUGACCAGCCACAUUGGGACUGAGACACGGCCCAAACUCCUACGGGAGGCAGCAGUGGGGAAUCUUGCGCAAUGGGCGAAAGCCUGACGCAGCCAUGCCGCGUGAAUGAUGAAGGUCUUAGGAUUGUAAAAUUCUUUUCACCGGGGACGAUAAUGACGGUACCCGGAGAAGAAGCCCCGGCUAACUUCGUGCCAGCAGCCGCGGU
rnacentral:rRNA from 1 species